rnacentral:rRNA from 1 species
UUUAAACACUUUUUAAAGUAUCAAUUGGAGGGCAAGUCUGGUGCCAGCAGCCGCGGUAAUUCCAGCUCCAAUAGCGUAUAUUAAAAUUGUUGCAGUUAAAAAGCUCGUAGUUGAAUUUCUGUUAAAAAUAACCGGUCUGCUUUUAUUAAAAGUGGUAUCUUGGUGUGUUUUUAGCAAUAAUGUCCUUUGAAAUGUUUUUUACUUUAUUGUAAUAAGUCAUUAUUUUGAGGAUUUUUACUUUGAGAAAAUUAGAGUGUUUCUAGCAGGCUUACGCUUUUGAAUACUGCAGCAUGGAAUAAUAAGAUAGGAUUUUAGUUCUACAUUAUUGGUUUUAAGAACUAAAUUAAUGAUUGAUAGGGAUAGUUGGGGGCAUUUGUAUUUAACUGUCAGAGGUGAAAUUCUUAGAUUUGUUAAAGACAAACUAUUGCGAAAGCAUUUGCCAAAGAUGUUUUCAUUAAUC